rnacentral:snRNA from 1 species
GUGCUUGCUUUGGCAGCACGUAUACUAAAAUUGGAACAAUACAGACAAGAUUAGCAUGGCCCCUGUGCAAGGAUGACACACAAGUUCAUGAAGCGUUCCAUAUUUUU